CAAACGGGUGCGGAACACGUACGCAACCUUCCCAAAACUGAUGAAUAGCCUUCCGAAAGGAAGAUUAAUACAUCGUAAGAUAACGAGGUGGCAUCACUUUGUUAUUAUAGCUCCGGCGGUUUUGGAUGGGCGUGCGCCUGAUUAGGUAGUUGGCGGGGUAACGGCCCACCAAGCCUUCGAUCAGUAACUGGUGUGAGAGCACGACCAGUCACACGGGCACUGAGACACGGGCCCG
rnacentral:rRNA from 1 species